rnacentral:rRNA from 1 species
CAACCUGAGAGUUUGAUCCUGGCUCAGAACGAACGCUGGCGGCAGGCUUAACACAUGCAAGUCGAACGAUCCCUUCGGGGAUAG